rnacentral:tRNA from 1 species
GGGGAUUUAGCUCAGUGGCAUAAGCACCUGCCUUGCAAGCAGGAGGUUAUGGGUUCGAUCCCCGGUACCG